rnacentral:rRNA from 1 species
GGGUUGUGAGGUUAAGCGAAUAAGCGUACACGGUGGAUGCCUAGGCAAUCAGAGGCGAUGAAGGACGUGCUAAUCUGCGAAAAGCGUCGGUAAGGUGAUAUGAACCGCUAUACCCGACGAUAUCCGAAUGGGGAAACCCAGUAUCCAAUGGAUACUAUCAUUAACUGAAUCCAUAGGUUAAUGAGGCGAACCGGGAGAACUGAAACAUCUCAGUACCCCGAGGAAAAGAAAUCAACCGAGAUUCCCCUAGUAGCGGCGAGCGAACGGGGAGCAGCCCAGAGUCUUAAUCAAUAGCAGUGUCAGGAGAACGGUCUGGAAAGUCCGGCAGUAAAGGGUGAUAGCCCCGUAUCUGAAGAUGCUGUUGUUGUGAACUCGACGAGUAGGGCGGGACACGUGUUAUCCUGUCUGAAUAUGGGGGGACCAUCCUCCAAGGCUAAAUACUCCUGAUUGACCGAUAGUGAACCAGUACCGUGAGGGAAAGGCGAAAAGAACCCCGGCGAGGGGAGUGAAAAAGAACCUGAAACCGUGUACGUACAAGCAGUAGGAGCCUCUUUAUGGGGUGACUGCGUACCUUUUGUAUAAUGGGUCAGCGACUUAUAUUCUGUAGCAAGGUUAACCGUAUAGGGGAGCCGUAGGGAAACCGAGUCUUAACUGGGCGAAUGAGUUGCAGGGUAUAGACCCGAAACCCGGUGAUCUAUCCAUGGGCAGGUUGAAGGUUGGGUAACACUAACUGGAGGACCGAACCGACUAAUGUUGAAAAAUUAGCGGAUGACUUGUGGAUGGGGGUGAAAGGCCAAUCAAACCGGGAGAUAGCUGGUUCUCCCCGAAAGCUAUUUAGGUAGCGCCUCGUGAACUCAUCUUCGGGGGUAGAGCACUGUUUCGACUAGGGGGUCAUCCCGACUUACCAACUCGAUGCAAACUGCGAAUACCGAAGAAUGUUAUCACGGGAGACACACGGCGGGUGCUAACGUCCGUCGUGAAGAGGGAAACAACCCAGACCGCCAGCUAAGGUCCCAAAGUCAUGGUUAAGUGGGAAACGAAGUGGGAAGGCUCAGACAGCCAGGAUGUUGGCUUAGAAGCAGCCAUCAUUUAAAGAAAGCGUAAUAGCUCACUGGUCGAGUCGGCCCGCGCGGAAGAUGUAACGGGGCUAAACCAUGCACCGAAGCUGCGGCAGCGACACAAAGUGUUGUUGGGUAGGGGAGCGUUCUGUAAGCCUGCGAAGGUGUACUGUGAGGUAUGCUGGAGGUAUCAGAAGUGCGAAUGCUGACAUAAGUAACGAUAAUGCGGGUGAAAAACCCGCACGCCGGAAGACCAAGGGUUCCUGUCCAACGUUAAUCGGGGCAGGGUGAGUCGACCCCUAAGGCGAGGCUGAAAAGCGUAGUCGAUGGGAAACGGGUUAAUAUUCCCGUACUGGUGGUAACUGCGAUGGGGGAACGGAGAAGGCUAGGUUGUCCGGGCGACGGUCGUCCCGGUUCAAGCAGGUAGGCAGAGUGAUUAGGCAAAUCCGGUCACUUAAUGCUGAGAUGUGAUGACGAACCACCAAGGUGGUGAAGCAAUUGAUGCCCCGCUUCCAGGAAAAGCCUCUAAGCUUCAGGUUACCAACAAUCGUACCCCAAACCGACACAGGUGGUCAGGUAGAGAAUACUCAGGCGCUUGAGAGAACUCGGGUGAAGGAACUAGGCAAAAUGGUGCCGUAACUUCGGGAGAAGGCACGCUGGCGGUAGGUAAAGUCCCUCGCGGACAGAGCUGAAGCCAGUCGAAGAUACCAGCUGGCUGCAACUGUUUAUUAAAAACACAGCACUGUGCAAACACGAAAGUGGACGUAUACGGUGUGACGCCUGCCCGGUGCUGGAAGGUUAAUUGAUGGGGUUAGCGCAAGCGAAGCUCCUGAUCGAAGCCCCAGUAAACGGCGGCCGUAACUAUAACGGUCCUAAGGUAGCGAAAUUCCUUGUCGGGUAAGUUCCGACCUGCACGAAUGGCGUAAUGAUGGCCAGGCUGUCUCCACCCGAGACUCAGUGAAAUUGAACUCGCUGUGAAGAUGCAGUGUACCCGCGGCAAGACGGAAAGACCCCGUGAACCUUUACUAUAGCUUGACACUGAACAUUGAGCCUUGAUGUGUAGGAUAGGUGGGAGGCUUUGAAGUGUGGACGCCAGUCUGCAUGGAGCCAACCUUGAAAUACCACCCUUUAACGUUUGAUGUUCUAACCUAGGCCCAUAAACUGGGUCGGGGACCGUGUCUGGUGGGUAGUUUGACUGGGGCGGUCUCCUCCUAAAGAGUAACGGAGGAGCACGAAGGUUGGCUAAGCAUGGUCGGACAUCAUGCGGUUAGUGCAAAGGCAUAAGCCAGCUUGACUGCGAGAGUGACGGCUCGAGCAGGUACGAAAGUAGGUCUUAGUGAUCCGGUGGUUCUGAAUGGAAGGGCCAUCGCUCAACGGAUAAAAGGUACUCCGGGGAUAACAGGCUGAUACCGCCCAAGAGUUCAUAUCGACGGCGGUGUUUGGCACCUCGAUGUCGGCUCAUCACAUCCUGGGGCUGAAGUAGGUCCCAAGGGUAUGGCUGUUCGCCAUUUAAAGUGGUACGCGAGCUGGGUUUAGAACGUCGUGAGACAGUUCGGUCCCUAUCUGCCGUGGGCGUUGGAAGAUUGAGAGGGGUUGCUCCUAGUACGAGAGGACCGGAGUGAACGCACCACUGGUGUUCGGGUUGUCAUGCCAAUGGCAUUGCCCGGUAGCUAAGUGCGGAAGAGAUAACCGCUGAAAGCAUCUAAGUGGGAAACUUGCCUCGAGAUGAGUCUUCCCUGUCGCUUUAAGCGACCUAAAGGAACGUUUAAGACUAAGACGUUGAUAGGCUGGGUGUGUAAGCGUAGCGAUACGUUGAGCUAACCAGUACUAAUGAACCGUGAGGCUUAACCUGACAACACCGAAAGUGUUUUG